CUAAGGAUAAAUUCGGAACCGGGCGCCUUAGGCGCUCCGGGGUUGACGUUUUGCGUUCAGUUUUGAAGGUUCAUCUUCAGGCGGCAACGCCUUUUUUUGUGACUUUCAGACUUGUUCUUUGAAAACUGGAUAAAACGACAUUGAAACAAAUGAAACAUGGAUUCAAAGUACGCGUGGCACUUGAUGCCACAACUUUUUAAUUAACCAUU
rnacentral:misc_RNA from 1 species